rnacentral:lncRNA from 1 species
GACUUAAGAUGGCGGCGUUUGCACGGAGUGCAAUCACUGCGUCCUUACGGGGGUUGCAAGGCGUCCGAAGUAUGAGUCCACUAACAAAAGUCCAGAAACUCGCCAGUUAAUAGUAUUGUGUCUCUUCAAAAUAUCGGAGAAUAAUUUCUUUCUCGCUGAUCGCCUAACUUCUACUGACGAAGCUUGGAAGUUGCAGAAGACAUGAUGUAUUGAGUAAAAGGAACUUCGGUACACAGGCCUUUAGUGAUGUGGUGGUAAGAUGUAUGGUACUGGCUCCUGUAUCACCCAGCUCUGGAGUUGAAAGAGCUCUUCAUUCCUGAGUCUCCUGUACCACUGAGAAUAGAAAUACAAAAAAAAUUCUAAAACUUGUAUGGAACUACAAAAGACAUUAAAUAAUCAAAGUAAUCUUGAGCAACAAGGACACAGCUGGAGGCAUCACUCUACCUGAUUUUGUAAUCCAUUAUCAAAAAACUGUGGUACCAGCAUAAAAACAGAUUCACUGACCAGUGGAACAGGAAAGCCCAGACAUAACUCAUACAUUUCCAUCCAAUUGAUUUUUGACAAAAGUGGCACACAGAAUGGGGAGAGGACAAAUAAAUAAAUAAAUUGUUUUGAGAUAUCUGUAUAUCUAUAUGUGAAAUUGAACCAUUUUCUCAUAGCAUAUAGAAAAAUCAACUCAAAAUGGAUUAAAGCCUGAAAUGUUGCCUUUGAAACUGUAAAACUACUAGUAGAAAAUAUA